UCUGUUGUUCUUAUUUCCGAUCUUCUAAGAUGUGUUUUUCUUUCUUUAAUCCUUGUAAAAAAUAUUACAAUGGCUUUUUGUUCUUAUAGCCUCCUUCCAAAAGAAAACCGAAUAAUAGAUAAAAAUGAAAAAAAAUACAAUUCGUUUCUGUUCUCUACUGUGCUUUGUUUGUUUGCGCAGGUACGACGUACGGAAGCCAGCUAGAGGCGCAUGGAGGUACUGCAUGCGUGGAGAGUGGCUCGGCACGUGCAGAGGGCGGCCUCGAUGGCUGCGGCGCUGGAAGCUCCUGCUAGGUUUUCAGCGUUUGGGGGAUACUUUGGGCUGUGUUGGGUUUGGGUAUUUUGGGCUAGAGUUUGUGUUUAAGUAAUGUAUUGGGUAUUAGAUUAAAACGAUUUGGGCCAUGCUGGGCCCAUGUAUUUGGACUUUGGACUUUUAAAUGUUGAUUUGGUUUAUUAUUUUUUGAUAUUUUUUGUUUAUUUAUUUCAGAUUUGGGCCGGGCAAAUUGGGCCUAUUACACUCCUGUCUGAAUGUAACAUGCCAAAGCUAUGUUCCAGACAUAGUCUUACAUGGGAUGUUUCUUGCACUACCAAUGCCAUAUCCCAGAUAUGGUCUUACAUGGGAGUUCUCAUAUAGGUGCCCAUGCCAUGUCCCAGACAUGGUCUUACGAGGGACCUCUCAUCUCAGUGCCAAUGCCAUGUCCCAGACAUGGUCUUACAUGGGACCUUUCAUCUUGGUGCCAACGUCAUGUCCCAGACAUGGUCUUAAAUGGGACCUCUCAUAAUCUAAAUUAUGCCAAUGCCAUGUCCCAAACAUGGUCUUACAUGGGAUCUCAUCCUCUUAAUGUCAUGACAUUUGUAUCAGAUACAUUCCUCAUGUUUCAACGGGGCCUUUUAACACUGAUUCUCUGUCAUCUCAUACUUGAGUUAACAUCAGAUAUUUUCAUGAAAUAAAUACAUAAUUGCUGAAAAAUAACAGAAUUAAUAAUAAUUAUCAAAAUAUUGCAUUUAUUUACCGUAAACUUACCUCAGUACAAAAAUGUGAUCAAAUCUAACACUUUAGUCCUCAAUCUUUUUCUUUCCCCAGUCUAGCUCCGGAUUUCAUUCUUUGUGAUCUAUAAUUGAAAAUUUAGCUUAUUUAAUACCCACAUUCAUCAAAACAGUCCUCGAAUCUAAAUUUUACAAAAUUACAAUUUUGUGCCUAAACUUUUACAUAAUUACACUUUUGCCCCAAAGUUCGGAAAUUAAAAUUCAUCUCUUAUUCUUAUGUUUUAUAACACGCUGAACAUUUUUCCCUUCUAUGACAACAUCAAAUUCUUACUCUAACAAUUACUUAUGAAAAUUAGGUAUUUUUGCCGAUUAUGUCAAUAUACUCGUUUUCACUUAAAAUCGACUAGCAAAAGCUGUUUAACAUAAUUUCUAGCUUCAUAUUCUACCAUAAAAUAUCAAAAUAAACAUAUUUCACCUAUGGGUAUUUUUCCAAAUAUGAACCCUAGGUUAAAUUAUUGCUAGAAUAAACUAAAUUAAGCUAUCGGGAUUUCAAAAACGUAAAGAACAUUAAAAACGGGGCUAGAACAGACUUACAAUCGAGCUUGAAAGCUUGAAAAACCCUAGACAUGGUUUCCCCUUGUGAAAUUCGGCCAUGGGGUUGAAAAUGGAAAAAAAAUUGGCUUUUAAUUUUGUUUUCAAUUCAUUUUAAUAACUAAAUGACCAAAAUGCCCUCAAUGAAAAACUUUGGAAACAUGCCUAACUAUGUCCAUUUUUGUCUACCAAAUUAACCAAUGGUCUAAUUACCAUAUAAGGACCUCCAAUUUAAAAUUUCAUAACAAUUGGACACCACUAACAUGUAGAUCUCAACUUUUGUACUUUUUACAAUUUAGUUCUUUUGACUAAAUUGAGUGCCCAAACGUCGAAAUUUUCGAACGAAAUUUUCACGAAAUAAUUUUGUAAAAUCGUAGACCAUAAAAAUAUAAGAAAAAUAAUUUUUUUUCUCAUCGGAUUUGUGGUCCCGAAACCACUAUUCCGACUAGGCCCAAAAUCAGGAUGUUACAAAAUAUCUCUAAAAUAGUAACAAAAUUAACAAUAAAACAACAAUUAUACAAUAUGUAAACAAUAAUAAUAAAAUAGUAGCAACAUAAUAGUGAAAUUGUAGCAAAAUAGUAAAAGAAAGAAAGAAAAUAGCAACAAAACAGUUAAAAAAAAAGAAAACAAUAAAAAAAAUAAAAGGUUUUUUUUUUUUUGCAUAUUCGGACCAAGCUUGGAUCCACAAAAGCUUCACCUGAGGUCCAAACCAUUUUCUAAACGGGUUUUAUUUUUUUGCCCAAACUCAUUUUUCAAACUUAUAUUUUUACUCAAACAUUUUUAUUUUUCCGAGUGACUCGACCCAUUAAUAGUUAUAAUUACAAGUUGGAGGAACAUGCUUUACAAACUUGUGGGAAACAUCAUUACCAAAUGUAGUUCUGUUUGCCAUAUAUAUAAAAUGCCCAAUUGCAUGUCAAUAUUUUCUAAUGUUGAAGAGACAUACCUUUAUUUAUGCAGCUUUCCCAUUUCCCUUUGUAUGUUAACCGAUCCUACAAUGCCAACAGCUUAAAAUGGAAUUUUCUUUUUCCAAAAUGCAUCCUAUUGAAGACCAAAGAUCAUUUAUACAUAAACCAGGUAGGAGUUGGUAGGUUGAUUUGUUUUGGUUUUUUGUUCGACAUUUAAAGCAAGCAAUAAUGGUUUAUUAGAUUAGAAUAUAUGCAUC
rnacentral:lncRNA from 1 species